rnacentral:rRNA from 1 species
GACGUAGGGGGCAAGCGUUGUCCGGAAUCAUUGGGCGUAAAGAGCGUGUAGGCGGCCCGGUAAGUCCGCUGUGAAAGUCCAGGGCUCAACCCUGGGAUGCCGGUGGAUACUGUCGGGCUCGAGUCCGGAAGAGGAGUGUGGAAUUCCUGGUGUAGCGGUGAAAUGCGCAGAUAUCAGGAGGAACACCAAUGGCGAAGGCAGCACUCUGGGACGUGACUGACGCUGAGACGCGAAAGCGUGGGGAGCAAACAGG